rnacentral:rRNA from 1 species
UGGGGAAUAUUGCACAAUUGGCGCAAGCCUGAUGCAGCAACGCCGCGUGAACGAUGAAUGUCUUCGGAUCGUAAAGUUCUGUUGCAGGGGAAGAUAAUGACGGUACCCUGUGAGGAAGCCCCGGCUAACUACGUGCCAGCAGCCGCGGUAAUACGUAGGGGGCUAGCGUUAUCCGGAUUUACUGGGCGUAAAGGGUGCGUAGGUGGUCUUUCAAGUCGGUGGUUAAAGGCUACGGCUCAACCGUAGUUAGCCUCCGAAACUGGAAGACUUGAGUGCAGGAGAGGGAAGUGGAAUUCCGAGUGUAGCGGUGAAAUGCGUAGAUAUUGGGAGGAACACCAGUAGCGAAAGUGGCUUUCUGGACUGCAAAUGACACUGAGGCACGAAAGCGUGGGUAGCAAACAGG